rfam:Daphnia magna strain Xinb3 scaffold00211, whole genome shotgun sequence.
CAAACGGCCCUUUUCAGGGCCACAACGUUUUCAGUUAAGGGAUCUA